rnacentral:rRNA from 1 species
UACAGAGGGUGCAAGCGUUAAUCGGAAUCACUGGGCUUAAAGCGUGUGUAGGCGGAUCGUUAAGUGCCUUGUGAAAUCCCACGGCUCAACCGUGGAACUGCUUGGCAUACUGGCGAUCUUGAGCCACUUAGGGCUACCGGAACAAAUGGUGGAGCGGUGAAAUGCGUAGAUAUCAUUUGGAACGCCAAUGGUGAAAACAGGUAGCUGGGAGUGUGCUGACGCUGAGACACGAAAGCCAGGGGAGCAAACGGG